rnacentral:lncRNA from 1 species
GGGAGGUGUUCCUGCCCCAGCUGCCCGGCUUCCCCCUGGAGCUUGGGGCCGGGGGAGAGCAGCAGAGCUGGGUGCUCUGCUCUGGCAUCGCAGGGACGGCCACAGCAGGUGCUGGGGAUCAGGGAGAGGCUGGGGCUCUGCCUCUGUCCCGUCAGUGCCCAGCGGGGGUGGAGGUGGAGCAGGAGGAGGCAGCGCAGUGACCUCACUCCAUGUUUCUCUGUGCGCCAGGUGUCCCUGCGGGCUGGGAAGAGCCCUUUGGUCAUGAGGACAGGGGCAGAGGGACCCCGCGUGUGUGCUGCAACUGUUAGUUGGCUCUUGCUGUAAUUGAUGGACACUGCCAGUUGCUUAGACAGAUGGGAAUUAAUACCGGUGUUCCCAUUAGAACUCACCAUCACAGUCACGCUGGCUUUGCACUGGCUUGAUGCGUGCAAGAGAGUGCGUGUGGAAGGAGCAAGUGGGGUUCCUGCCUGCAGUACUUGUCUUCCAGGGUGUUGGACCCAUCCAUCCAACACAGAGCAGAUGAGCUGCUUGCCAGCUUGCAGAACACAUAGCUUUGAGGUGGUGUGGAAAAUGCUUCUUUCCUGGAUGCUGAGAGAUCGUGGUGAGUGGGACUCUCAUCCGGAGAGGUGUUUGUGA